AACGAACGCUGGCGGCAGGCUUAACACAUGCAAGUCGAACGGGUGUAGCAAUACAUCAGUGGCAGACGGGUGAGUAACACGUGGGAACCUUCCUAGGGGUACGGAACAACUCAGGGAAACUUGAGCUAAUACCGUAUACGUCCGUGAGGAGAAAGAUUUAUCGCCCUUAGACGGGCCCGCGUCGGAUUAGCUAGUUGGUGGGGUAACGGCCUACCAAGGCGACGAUCCGUAGCUGAUCUUAGAGGAUGAUCAGCCACACUGGGACUGAGACACGGCCCAGACUCCUACGGGAGGCAGCAGUGGGGAAUCUUGGACAAUGGGCGCAAGCCUGAGCCAGCCAUGCCGCGUGAGUGAAGAAGGUCUUCGGAUUGUAAAGCUCUUUUGCCAGGGACGAUAAUGACGGUACCUGGAGAAUAAGCCCCGGCAAACUUCGUGCCAGCCGCCGCGGUAA
rnacentral:rRNA from 1 species